rnacentral:rRNA from 1 species
UGCUAAAUAGGAUCGGGAACCUCGGUUCUCGCAUCACUUCUUAGAGGGACUUUGCGUGUCUAACGCAAGGAAGUUUGAGGCAAUAACAGGUCUGUGAUGCCCUUAGAUGUUCUGGGCUGCACGCGCGCUACACUGAUGCAUGCAACGAGUUUUUGACCUUGGCCGGAAGGUCUAGGUAAUCUUUUGAGUAUGCAUCGUGAUGGGGAUAGAUUAUUGCAAUUAUUAAUCUUCAACGAGGAAUGCCUAGUAGGCGCAAGUCAGCAGCUUGUGCCGAUUACGUCCCCGCCCUUUGUACACACCGCCCGUCGCUGCAACCGAUCGAAGGGUCCUGUGAACUCGAUGGACAGCCCAUCCCCUUCUUGGGGUUGGGCUGGAAGUUGCGUAAAUAGAGCCCUUUAAAGGAUGCAAAAGUCGUAACACGGUUUCCGUAGGUGAACCUGCGGAAGGAUCAUUC